rnacentral:tmRNA from 1 species
GGGGCUGAUCGGUUUCGACGGGGAUCGUCGAUUCAGGAGAAGCGGGCCGAGGAUGCGUGGUUAUCUCGUUAACGAUCCGCGUGAACAAUAAGUGCGAAAUCUAACCGCACCGGCUUCGCCCUCGCCGCCUGAGGCGAGUGGCUUGCCCGUCAACCCAGGAGUGGCUGCGGCCUGGGAUCUGGCGUCGUGAAGUAGCCCACUGCUCGUCCGUCGCGUUGUCCGGCGGGCGGGGACUUCUAGACAACUGAGCCUGGCGGCGCGUUGCCGAUUACAGCGCCGGGGCUGAGAAAACCGACUAUCGGCUGCGCCCGGAGAAGACCUGUGCUUUGGUUCUCGGACGGGGGUUCAAUUCCCCCCAGCUCCACAA